CUACGGGCUGCUCCAGUGAGGAAUAUUGCACAAUGGGGGGAACCCUGAUGCAGCAACGCCGCGUGGAGGAUGACGCAUUUCGGUGUGUAAACUCCUUUUAUAUGUCAAGAAAAUGACGGUAGCAUAUGAAUAAGCACCGGCUAACUCCGUGCCAGCAGCCGCGGUACUACGGAGGGUGCAAGCGUUACUCGGAAUCACUGGGCGUAAAGGACGCGUAGGCGGGUUGGAAAGUCAGGUGUGAAAUCCUACAGCUUAACUGUAGAACUGCACUUGAAACUUCUAAUCUAGAGUAUGGGAGGGGGAGAGGGAAUUAGUGGUGUAGGGGUAAAAUCCGUAGAUAUCACUAGGAAUACCUAAAGCGAAGGCGAUCUCCUGGAACAUUACUGACGCUAAGGCGUGAAAGCGUGGGGAGCAAACAGGAUUAGAUACCCGGGUAGUC
rnacentral:rRNA from 1 species